rnacentral:sRNA from 1 species
GAAAAGAUAGGAAUGCUCAGCCAAGUCCCAGCUCCUUCUAAGCCUGGGCUCAAGUGUCCUGGCUCUUCCUGCCUUGAACUUGAUUCUCCUAAGCUGAUAUUUGGAACUUUUUAGUCCAGAAACUAUAGACCAGGGUUUUGUAACACUGCUACCAUAAAUCCUUCCUGGAUUUUAUCUGCCAGUAGCCACAGAUACCAUUGCUAGCUGUUACAUAGAGGAUGUGUGUUUAAACCUCCUCAAGGUAAAAUUCUAAAAAUCUUUUCAGAUGCUGAAGAAGGAAGAAGCAAUUCCAUGGCCUGGAACUUUAGCAAUUGUUCAUUCCUAUAUUGCCUACAAAGCAGCAAAAGAAGAAGAGAAACAGAAGUUACUCAAAUGGAGUUCAGAUUU